rnacentral:rRNA from 1 species
UACGAAGGGGGCUAGCGUUGCUCGGAAUGACUGGGCGUAAAGGGCGCGUAGGCGGCUCAUACAGUCAGAUGUGAAAUUCCUGGGCUUAACCGUGGGGGCUGCAUUUGAUACGUGUGGGCUUGAGUGGGGAAGAGGGUCGUGGAAUUCCCAGUGUAGAGGUGAAAUUCGUAGAUAUUGGGAAGAACACCGGUGGCGAAGGCGGCGACCUGGUCCUUGACUGACGCUGAGGCGCGAAAGCGUGGGGAGCAAACAGG